rnacentral:misc_RNA from 1 species
GAUGAAGAACGCAGCGAAAUGCGAUACUUGGUGUGAAUUGCAGAAUCCCGUGAACCAUCGAGUCUUUGAACGCAAGUUGCGCCCGAAGCCAUCAGGUUGAGGGCACGUCUGCCUGGGCGUCACAUAUCGUUGCUCGAUGCCUAUCGCAUUGCGAUAGGACUUAGGGCGAAUGAUGGCUUCCCGUGAGCGUUGUUGCCUCGCGGUUGGUUGAAAAUCGAGUCCUUGGUAGGGUGUGCCAUGAUAGAUGGUGGUCGAGUUAACACGAGACCGAUCAUGUGCAUGCUCCCCAAAAUAUGGCCUCUGUGACCCACACGCGUCUUUUGACGCUCAUGACGAGACCUCAGGUCAGGCGGGGCUACCCGCUGAAUUUAAGCAUAUCAAUAAGCGGAGGA